rnacentral:rRNA from 1 species
GACGAACGCUGGCGGCGUGCUUAACACAUGCAAGUCGAACGGAAAGGCCCUGCUUGUGGGCUGCUCGAGUGGCGAACGGGUGGGUAACUCGUGGGUGAUCUGCCUCUUACUUUGGGAUAAGCCUGGGAAACUGGGUCUAGUACUGGACAGGUCCAUGCUGUAGGUGGUGUGGUGGACAGAUUAGUUUCGGUAUGGGAUGAGCUCGCGGCGUAUCAGCUUGUUGGUGGGGUAUUGGCCUACCAAGGCGGCGACGGGUAGCCGGCCCGAGAGGGUGGACGGCCAGAUCAGAACUGUGAGAGAGGCCACAGUCCUGCGGGAGGCAGCAGGGGGGAAAAUUGCACAAUGGGAGCAAGCGUGAUGGAGCGACGCCGCGUGGGGGUAGAGGGCCGUCGGGUGGGAAGCACCUGUCAGCGAUGACAAAGCCCAUGUGGUGACGGUAGUGGAAGAAGAAGAACCGGCUAACUACGUG